rnacentral:tRNA from 1 species
GGGGGCGUAGCUCAGCUGGGAGAGCGCAGCCUUCGCAAGGCUGAGGUAGCGGGUUCAAGUCCCGCCGCCUCCACCA